rnacentral:rRNA from 1 species
GAUGAACGCUAGCGGGAGGCCUAACACAUGCAAGCCGAGCGGUAUUGUUUCUUCGGAAAUGAGAGGGCGGCGUACGGGUGCGUAACACGUGUGCAACCUGCCUUUAUCUGGGGGAUAGCCUUUCGAAAGGAAGAUUAAUACUCCAUAAUAUAUUGAACGGCAUCGUUUAAUAUUGAAAGCUCCGGCGGAUAGAGAUGGGCACGCGCAAGAUUAGCUAGUUGGUGAGGUAACGGCUCACCAAGGCGAUGAUCUUUAGGGGGCCUGAGAGGGUGAUCCCCCACACUGGUACUGAGACACGGACCAGACUCCUACGGGAGGCAGCAGUGAGGAAUAUUGGUCAAUGGGUGCAAGCCUGAACCAGCCAUCCCGCGUGAAGGACGACUGCCCUAUGGGUUGUAAACUUCUUUUGUAUAGGGAUAAACCUACCCUCGAGAGGGUAGCUGAAGGUACUAUACGAAUAAGCACCGGCUAACUCCGUG